CGGGGUGUAGCGCAGCCCGGUAGCGCGCCUGCUUUGGGAGCAGGAUGUCGCAGGUUCGAAUCCUGUCUCCCCGACCA
rnacentral:tRNA from 1 species